CUUUGCUAAUUGAAUUGAAGUAGCUUGCUAUGGAUAGGAUUGAAGCGCUAGCUAGUGGCGAACGGGCGAGUAACGAGUAUUCAAUCUACCCCAAGGACUUGGAUAACUACAGAGAUGUAGCUAAACCAAGAUAGUCUGUAUGAAUGAAAAUAAAUACAGUAAAUAUUUAUAGCCUUGGGACGAGGAUGCUUCCUAUCAGGUAGUUGGCGGGAUAAAAGCCCACCAAGCCUAUGACGGGUAGCCGGUCUGAGAGGAUGUCCGGCCGCAAUGGAACUGAGAUACGGUCCAUACCCCUACGGGGGGCAGCAGUGGGGAAUUUUGGACAAUGGACGAAAGUCUGAUCCAGCAAUUCUGCGUGCGGGAUGAAGCAUUACGGUGCGUAAACCGCUUUUCUGGGGGAAAACGAAUGAUGGUACCUCAGGAAUAAGUGACGGCUAACUAUGUGCCAGCAGCCGCGGUAAUACAUAGGUCACAAGCGUUAUCCGGAGUUACUGGGCGUAAAGAGUCCGUAUCCUGUUUUGUAAGUCUGAUUUCAAAUACCACUACUCACUAGUGGAAAGGGGUCGGAUACUGCAAAGCUGGAGGAAUUUGGAGGUUAGUGGAAUUACUGGUGGAGGGGUGA
rnacentral:rRNA from 1 species